AGUUCCCUGGCGUAAUGGCAACGUGUUUGACUUCGAUCAUCUUCUGUCAGAUGGUAUUGCUGGCACUGAUAUCAAGAGAUUACAGGUUCGAUCCCUGUGAUGGUCG